rnacentral:rRNA from 1 species
GAUGAACGCUGGCGGCGUGCCUAAUACAUGCAAGUCGAGCGAACGGACGAGAAGCUUGCUUCUCUGAUGUUAGCGGCGGACGGGUGAGUAACACGUGGAUAACCUACCUAUAAGACUGGGAUAACUUCGGGAAACCGGAGCUAAUACCGGAUGAUAUUUUGAACCGCAUGGUUCAAAAGUGAAAGACGGUCUUGCUGUCACUUAUAGAUGGAUCCGCGCUGCAUUAGCUGGUUGGUAAGGUAACGGCUUACCAAGGCAACGAUGCAUAGCCGAACUGAGAGGGUGGUCGGCCACCCUGGAAGGGAGACACGGUCCAGACUACUACGGGAGGCAGCAGUAGGGAAUCUGCCGCAAUGGGCGAAAGCCUGACGGAGCAACGCCGCGUGUGUGAUGAAGGUCUUCGGAUCGUAAAACUCUGUUAUUAGGGAAGAACAUAUGUGUAAGUAACUGUGCACAUCGUGACGGUACCUAAUCAGAAAGCAACGGCUAACUACGUG